CCCGUCUCAGGAUGGCACCUGGAGAGUUUCUAGUACUUUUCCAGUCUUGGCUACGGGAGGGAGAGUCAAGCAGAGUCAUAUCCAUUCCAUUUCUAGCUUGGGCAGUGGCUAGCGAGUGGCAGGCAAUCUGCUACAAGG